AUGCAAAAUUCGAAAGAGAGGACAAAGGGUGGUAUCUGCUUGAAGCGCCCGAAGUUAAUCCCAACAUUACUUUACCAAGGAACAUUAGAGCAUCAUCAGGUAAUGAUUUGUUUUAGACAAUUGAUAAAAACGGAAGCUUAUUUUAAAAAAACGGAUGUUGAUCUGUCUAGGGCGAUUCCUAAGGCGGACCAGAACAUCUGUUGGGAGCAACUCUUGGUUUGCAAGCAAACACAACAGUGUAUGCUUAUCUUGCGCUUAGCGUCUUCUCAUUUGGCUGGUGUGUAUCUAAACAGAACUACGCAGGAAAAGAGAUCGAGUCAAGAGUUGAAUUGUUGA
rnacentral:rRNA from 1 species